AGUGAACGCUGGCGGCAGGCCUAACACAUGCAAGUCGAACGGCAGCACAGUAAGAGCUUGCUCUUACGGGUGGCGACUGGCGGACGGGUGAGGAAUACAUCGGAAUCUACUUUUUCUUGGGUGAUAACGUAGGGACACUUACGCUAAUACCGCAUACGACCUACGGGUGAAAUCAGGGGAUCUUCGGACCUUGCGCGAUCCAAUGAGCCGAUGUCGGAUUAGCUAGUUGGCGGGGUAAAGGCCCACCAAGGCGACGAUCCGAAGCUGGUCUGAGAGGAUGAUCAGCCACACUGGAACUGAGACACGGUCCAGACUCCUACGGGAGGCAGCAGUGGGGAAUAUUGGACAAUGGGCGAAAGCCUGAUCCAGCCAUGCCGCGUGGGUGAAGAAGGCCUUCGGAUUGUAAAGCACUUUUAUUGGGGAAGAAAAGCAGCAGGUUAAUACCCCGCUGUUCUGACGGUACCAAAAGAAUAAGCACCGGCUAACUUCGUG
rnacentral:rRNA from 1 species